AGCGUAUAUGGUGGAUGCCUAGGCAGUAAGAGGCGAUGAAGGACGUUGUAGUCUGCGAUAAGCCCGGGGGAGCUGACAAACAAGCUUUGAUCCCGGGAUUUCCGAAUGGGGAAACCCGACCGUAAGGUCAUCAUGCACUGAAUACAUAGGUGUAUGAAGCAAACCCAGGGAACUGAAUCAUCUAAGUACCUGGAGGAAAAGAAAUCAAACGAGAUUCCCUUAGUAGCGGCG
rnacentral:rRNA from 1 species